UACGUAGGUGGCAGGCGUUAUCCGGAUUUAUUGGGUGUAAAGGGCGUGUAGGCGGGAAUGCAAGUCAGAUGUGAAAACUAUGGGCUCAACCCAUAGCCUGCAUUUGAAACUGUAUUUCUUGAGUGCUGGAGAGGCAAUCGGAAUUCCGUGUGUAGCGGUGAAAUGCGUAGAUAUACGGAGGAACACCAGUGGCGAAGGCGGAUUGCUGGACAGUAACUGACGCUGAGGCGCGAAAGCGUGGGGAGCAAACAGG
rnacentral:rRNA from 1 species